UUCAAGCUUAACAAGUCACUUAAUGUAUCACCAGUACAUCGGGUAAUCAUGAAACGACUUAAAUUCAAAGUACACACCAGGGCCCAAACUUUUCAAGUUUACAAUAUCCAAAAGUACAACCCAAACCAGGGCCUAGUCAAAAUAUAUAACAGGAGUCUUAACAAAAGUACAACGGAUGGUUCCUUCAUAUUUCUCCAAGAUUCGGUCCUGUUAAGGAAAACAAAACUAUAGGGUGAGCUGAACGCUCGUGAGGCCAAGAACACACAUGCAAGCACUUAGUCAAAUAACAAUCCCAAAUUUAAUAAAUAAAAUCACGUCUUUUCAACAAUCAAUUUUUCAUACAGGAAAAGUAAUCAGAAACAAUUCAAGGAUAUCGUAGCUCUCAGGAGCUAAAUUCCACUCGCUCUGCCGAUGACAUUCGUAUACCUUCCCGCAUUAACCCUCCUGUCAACCGGGUCGGUAUUUCCAUUUCCGUAGAUCACCAUUUACUUCCCUCCGUCCACCGUACACCCCAAGGGCCCACAAGUCUAGUAUAAGGCGAUACUCGACGAGUAUGCCAAGCAAGACCUCUUAUUAGGUCGAGCUUAUAUGUAUCUCAUGGCUCGCCCAGAUCCCCGACCAAGCCCAUUGCUGGCUCAAGUCUAAGGACGGCCUAUGAGUUUAGGCGUCCCCCAUUCAUUUGAAAGUCGAGGAGGUUCACUCCAACGACACAAGCAUUCAUGACAUAACAUUGCAUUUCAUUCAUUCAUUCAAUACAUUUCAUUCAUUCAUUUAAAAUUAGAACGAGUGCGAUAAAGUACGCACCGCCCUUAUUUUUAAAACUUCAACAAAUACCACAAUAAGCAAGUAUCAAAAAUUUACACACUUGACACUCACCGAGCAAUUCAAUAAGAAUUAUUUUCUGGGAGUUCAAGUGUCCACUGUGAGAUCCUCUUGAAGGUCUCCUUGUGCGCGUGGCAAUUAACAGUGGAUAAUCACACAAUUAAUCCACUCAUCAAGAAGAUUGUACACUAGUACAAUCUAAGGAUUAUUUUGCAAAAAGGAACCUCAAUUACACGUAAAUCGAGGUUCAACUUGUCUUUUAUUAUGUACAAUAUUAUUUGAGUUUGUAUCAUGAAAAUCGUGAGCAAAACGUUUAAAAAUAUUAAAAGAAUAAAGAGUUCUUGAGAAAACUCUAUUUCUUUGAGAUUGGAAAAUUUUCAGUUUUACGAUGAAUCUUUGAAAAAUCGUAACCCGCUCGGUAUAAGUCGAGAAUUGGAAAACUUUAUACUGUUGGAAACCUCUUAGAAAGUACUAUAAGUUCCUAGAAGACACUUUUCCAUGAAUCGAAGUGAAAAGUGGUCAAAAAUGAGCUUGAAGACGCAGGGUUGGUUUUUUUUUAUGGUAGAAUUAAGUUGGAUUUCGGCCAACUUUGGAAAUUCGGCACGAUUCACACGUUGCAAACCGGCCUCUGAAAUUUGCAGCUCAAUUAGUGUUACAAGUGAGGUUUAUAACAAAACAAGCGGAUGAAGAAUCGGAGUUUCGAGUACCGAGAUACGGUAGCCCGAAGAUAGGGAAAUUCAAGACUGGAGAAGAAUUUCCAGAUUUGAACCUCCAACAUGAGGAAUUUAAUUGGUUAUCGAAACGAACUUGGAUUGGUACCAAAAUUGGCAGUAUUUUACUCCCAUAUGAAAGGUACCACUCUACCAAAUUUCAGGGAAAAAUACCUUCGGUAAGAUAGUUAAUUAGUCAACCAAAGUUCGAGAAAAUUAUAAGGCAAUCUGCCUUGAGACUUUCAUUACCCAUUUCAAAACGUUUAAUCAAGCAAACUAUCCAAUCAUGGUUCAUUUGUGAAAUAAAGGCCUAAGAAACAUCCAUAAUGCCUUUGGUAAGUGUUUAGUAUCAAGAACAUCAAUUAACAAGUUCACUCCAAUUUCUUGUUCCAAACCAGUCCAACAUUAGGGUUUUUCCAAAACAGAGCAGUCCACUUGUUUUGGUCACAAUUCAGUCAAUUUAACUCGAAAUCGAGCAUGGCUUACGCCGUUGGAAAAUACCUUCAUAGGGUUAAAAUAUCACAGAAGAAAUCGUUCCCAAAUUCGGCACCAAUCUGGUUCAAAAUCGGGCAUCAAGUUGCUGCCUGAACACUUCAUUCCAGACGAACAGAGCAACAGGACAGCGAACUUAAAACAUUUGGUUCGGCUUGCUCACAAAGAAUCAGAACGUGCAUUAUAUACCAAAUUAAAUCCAGGAAUGUCUAGUUUCCAACGCCACCAACGGCACAUGAUUUCGACAUCCGAGGACAGAGUUAUAGCCAAAAUACUACCACUGGUUAGAAUCAUACGCGAACAGUUUUCCAGAUUGCUAGUUUCUCAAGAAAAAUUCAUUUGCUCAAUCAAACCUCAAUAUUUUCCAAUGAAAUUUUUCACACAUCUAAUACAUCCUAUAAACAUCCAAUUCAAGCCAUUAAACCAUUAAAAAAUUGGCCUGGAAAUGGCCGAACAUGACAGGGGCAAAAUCGGAAGUUUUUGCUUCUUACACCCAAUGAAGUUUCUACUAAUUACCCACCACUAAUGCAUCAUUAUAACCACUAAACCAACAAUAUAAUCACCAUCAAUCAUCACAUCAGCAACAACAACCCAAGUGUGGGAAUUCCAAGAGCCCACUAUCACAUUUUUACACCAUACACAAGCUAACCAAAUGCAUGCAUGAACUUAACAAGGUAAGAUAGCUUCCAAACUUCAAGUUUUCAAGAGUGGAUCAUCACUUACUUUGGGUUGAUGUUUAGCAGAAUUUUCGGCCCUCUAUUACCCCAGAAAAACCGUGAUUCCCAGCCCUUGUUUGCAGCUCAAAAUGAUCCUCAAGUGUCAAGCUAGGUGUGGUGCAAGUUUGGUUAAAUUUGGAGAUGAUUUGGGGUGGUUUUGAGUGAGAUUAGUGAGCAGAAAUUUUGUUGCAAAUGAGUUAGAGAGAGGAGGGAGCUGGUCGGCAAUGAGGAGAGAGA
rnacentral:lncRNA from 1 species